rnacentral:rRNA from 1 species
AGUGAACGCUGGCGGCAGGCCUAACACAUGCAAGUCGAACGGCAGCACAGAGGAGCUUGCUCCUUGGGUGGCGAGUGGCGGACGGGUGAGGAAUACAUCGGAAUCUGCCCUGUCGUGGGGGAUAACGUAGGGAAACUUACGCUAAUACCGCAUACGACCUUCGGGUGAAAGAGGGGGAUCGCAAGACCUCUCGCGAUUGGAUGAGCCGAUGUCGGAUUAGCUAGUUGGCGGGGUAAAGGCCCACCAAGGCGACGAUCCGUAGCUGGUCUGAGAGGAUGAUCAGCCACACUGGAACUGAGACACGGUCCAGACUCCUACGGGAGGCAGCAGUGGGGAAUAUUGGACAAUGGGCGCAAGCCUGAUCCAGCCAUGCCGCGUGAGUGAAGAAGGCCUUCGGGUUGUAAAGCUCUUUUGUCCGGAAAGAAAAGCAUUCGGUUAAUAACCGGGUGUCAUGACGGUACCGGAAGAAUAAGCACCGGCUAACUUCGUG